CGUAAGGGCUCGCAGGCGGUUUCUUAAGUCUGAUGUGAAAGCCCCCGGCUCAUCCGGGGAGGGUCAUUGGAAACUGGGAAACUUGAGUGCAGAAGAGGAGAGUGGAAUUCCACGUGUAGCGGUGAAAUGCGUAGAGAUGUGGAGGAACACCAGUGGCGAAGGCGACUCUCUGGUCUGUAACUGACGCUGAGGAGCGAAAGCGUGGGGAGCGAACAGGAUUAGAUACCCUGGUAGUCCACGCCGUAAACGAUGAGUGCUAAGUGUUAGGGGGUUUCCGCCCCUUAGUGCUGCAGCUAACGCAUUAAGCACUCCGCCUGGGGAGUACGGUCGCAAGACUGAAACUCAAAGGAAUUGACGGGGGCCCGCACAAGCGGUGGAGCAUGUGGUUUAAUUCGAAGCAACGCGAAGAACCUUACCAGGUCUUGACAUCCUCUGACAACCCUAGAGAUAGGGCUUUCCCUUCGGGGACAGAGUGACAGGUGGUGCAUGGUUGUCGUCAGCUCGUGUCGUGAGAUGUUGGGUUAAGUCCCGCAACGAGCGCAACCCUUGAUCUUAGUUGCCAGCAUUCAGUUGGGCACUCUAAGGUGACUGCCGGUGACAAACCGGAGGAAGGUGGGGAUGACGUCAAAUCAUCAUGCCCCUUAUGACCUGGGCUACACACGUGCUACAAUGGACAGAACAAAGGGCUG
rnacentral:rRNA from 1 species